UACGAAGGGGGCUAGCGUUGUUCGGAAUUACUGGGCGUAAAGGGCGCGUAGGCGGCCCGUUCAGUCAGAUGUGAAAGCCCCGGGCUCAACCUGGGAACAGCAUUUGAUACUGGCGGGCUUGAGUUCCGGAGAGGAUGGUGGAAUUCCCAGUGUAGAGGUGAAAUUCGUAGAUAUUGGGAAGAACACCGGUGGCGAAGGCGGCCAUCUGGACGGACACUGACGCUGAGGCGCGAAAGCGUGGGGAGCAAACAGG
rnacentral:rRNA from 1 species